AUUGAACGCUGGCGGCGUGCCUAACACAUGCAAGUCGAGCGGUAACAGGUGUAGCAAUACAUGCUGACGAGCGGCGGACGGGUGAGUAACGCUUGGGAAUCUGCCUAUUAGUGGGGGACAACCCGGGGAAACUCGGGCUAAUACCGCAUACGCUCUACGGAGGAAAGCCGGGGACCGCAAGGCCUGGCGUUAAUAGAUGAGCCCAAGUCGGAUUAGCUAGUUGGUAGGGUAAUGGCCACCAAGGCGACGAUCCGUAACUGGUCUGAGAGGACGACCAGUCACACCGGAACUGAGACACGGUCCGGACUCCUACGGGAGGCAGCAGUGGGGAAUAUUGGACAAUGGGCGAAAGCCUGAUCCAGCGACGCCGCGUGGGUGAAGAAGGCCUGCGGGUUGUAAAGCCCUUUCAGUGGGGAAGAAAAGCCUCGACCUAACACGUCGGGGUCUUGACGUAACCCAUAGAAGAAGCACCGGCUAACUCUGUGCCAGCAGCCGCUGUAAU
rnacentral:rRNA from 1 species